rnacentral:lncRNA from 1 species
GUAGCACCUGCUUUGACAUUGAUUCUCAGGUGUAUGAAUUGCUCCCCUGAUUUUAGAUCACUUUGUCCUCAUCACUCGGCAUAUCGACAUUGAUAUUGACAGGGCUUUAUUUUAGUUUUCGACAUAUGACAGAUCAUAGCAUCUUUAAAAUUGUAAGGAUAUAUUUCAUGGAGCCUGUAUUCCCUUUUUUCAGUGUACUUCUGUCAUGUUCUUGUCCCCGACACAAUAUAGAAGCCAUCAAAGCCUACACUAAUACAGGCAGGAGGACAGAGAUUGAUGCUAACACUGUAUGAAUGUAUGAAUAACUUUAUCAUAUUUACGUAUGAGUGAUUAUGUAUCCUUUUUGCUUUUCAGUGUCUUCUCAUAAACAACCAGCCUUGAAGGCUACAAGUGACAAGGAAAAUUCUGUUCCGAAUAUGGCCACAGAAACAAAGGAUGAACAAAUAUCUGGGACAGGUAAUUUUGCAAACACAUUUAAUAGGAUGUUCGUUCAAGAUAGAAGAGAUCUUCUCUUCACCAAAUAAAGCAGCGGGGGGUUCGUCAAAUCUUCAUGUUCUGAUUCAGUAUUCCUGAGAUUAUUCAUUUGUAAUAAGUUCUCAGGUGACCCUGAUGCUGUGGUCCUUGGCCAUGAUGAAAGUACUAAGAUUUUAGAUGUCUGUACUUUGAAAUUGGGAAAAAGAACCAUCUGACCGCAAUUCAACACAUAACAGGCUCAGGGGACAGCAUCAUUUUGCUUUAAUUCUACAGCAUGUUUUCAUCAAGAGGGGAAAGAGAAAGAGAUGAAGUAAUAGAUAUUAGAGGCGUCAGAUUGUAUUGUGAUAAACAGAGGGAAAAGUGAUCCUAAUACCACAAAAACACUGUAGAAUGAGAAGUAACAAGAGCAGUGAUGUAGCAAUUAUUUUCCUCAAGGAAUAGGGAUUGUGAGUCAGGAAGGAGGGAGAAGAAGAAGUUAUUUAUGUAAUUUGGGAUUUCUGCUGAGGAAACCUCAGUGAACUCACUUCAAUACAUUUGGAACAUUUGCAUAAAAGAAGAUUUGAUUUUGGGUGCUUCAGGAACUACUGGAAGCAGGAAACUAUGCUAGAAUUGGGAUAAACCACAGUGACUCAUUACUCCUCUUUAGGAGUAAUUUACUAUUAGGCAUCAGAGAUACUUGUUUUGUUGAUUUCAGUUAUAAAACUGAGAUAAACGAAUAUGAAUACAUUGGCUUCAAAGUUCAAGGAGCUAAGUCUUGGAUAAAAUAGCUAUUGAAUGAAACUUCUUUAGGGAAUAGCAUGAUACUCCAAAGAAGACUUUUUAGAAACAAA